CACAUAAAAAACAAUCAAAUAAAAGACUAUGGCUAUGCUGGAGGUUAUGAUGGCUAUGGUGGUAGCGGCGGUUAUGGUGCAGGAGGUGGUGGUGGUCGUGGUACCGGUGGACCUAGAGGAGGUCCCAAAGGAGGUGUCGGCGGCGGUUAUCAAUCGGGCAAGCAAAGAGGGACAGGACGUCAGCCCAGACAUCAACCAUAUUAAUUUUAAUUCAACUUCCUUACUCCAUAACUACAAAACAUAAGCAAAGAUUAAAAAAUAUUUUUUAAUUAUAAACAAAACACAAACAACAAACCUAAGCAACCGAAAGUCUUUCUAGAAUUAUAAACGGCAUUAUGCUAUUGAGCAGCAUAAUAAUUAAAGCAAAAGAUAUCAUAGUUUAGUUCGUUGUGCGUUCUUUUUUCUACAAGUUAUUCAAUCAUAUAUUCUUAAACAAAAGAUCAGUCAUUCAUACAUCUCUAUUAAAUCCAUAUGUAAAAUAUAGUUCUUCAAAGACACAGGGAAAUUCUAAAUGUAUAAAACUAAUAUAUUGAACUAUCAAAACACGUGGAUUUCAUAUAGUUUUUUAUGGAAAUCCCGUUCUAUCGCCGUAGUCUAUAUAUUCUGAAAUUGACAAAUAACAACAGACACAACAACUACCAUUCCAGAAAACAAACUCAUUGCGGUUACUUUAAAAGCAGCAGUACGUACAUCAAGCCACAGACUUCAUUUUCAACCACACACUGUUUUUCAUCAUAUUACCCCGCAAACACACAUCUAUAUAUUCAGGCUUAAUUUCCUUUUUCACAACAUUACUAUUUUAUUUUUUUUUUUGCUACAGUCUAGUUUAAAAAUGUUUGUAAUAUUAAAUUUAAUAAAACAAAACAAUACCCUAAUUAUAAAGCCAGUUUCUCGGUUUACUAAUUCUCUAUUACUAUUGCAGAGUGUGCUUCAAAAUAAGUUUUUUUUUUAUUUUUAAAAACGUAUUGAAGGAACCCACCUCAUAUAUACAUAUACUAUAUAAAACAUAGAUACAUAUAUAACAAAACAAACAAAAAUAAAACCAAAACUUUACUUCAUUUAUGGGUUUAUUCAUUUCUUACCACGUUUUCUCUAAAUAUAUAUUUAUAUAUAUAUUGAUCCAUCAUACAAACCUACCUUUACAUCAUCGUAUCUAUUUACCACAUAAUACUUAAUAAAUAUUUUUUUUCUUCAUUACUAAAUCAAGCAGACUUUGAUUUUUAUAUAAGUUGUUCUCAUUUUUUCCACUUUAUUUUCCUUUGGCAAUAUUAAGUACCCUUGAUGAUAUACAAUUUAUACUAUUUUUUUAUUACUUUUAAGAAAUGUAUUGUAAUAUUCACAACACUUUAUAUAAUGUAAUAGAACAAGCAAACUUUGAACAAAAAAGAAGUUAUACAAACGUAAGAAAAUAUUGAAGAUUAAUAAAAGGUUCUAAAUUGAUAACAAAGACCACCAAAACCUAUACAAAA
rnacentral:sRNA from 1 species